rnacentral:tRNA from 5 species
GCCGGUGUAGCUCAGUCGGUAGAGCAGCGCAUUCGUAACGCGAAGGUCGGGGGGUUCGAUUCCCUUCUCCGGCACCA